UACGUAGGGUGCGAGCGUUGUCCGGAAUUAUUGGGCGUAAAGGGCUCGUAGGCGGUUUGUCACGUCGGGAGUGAAAACUCGGGGCUUAACCCCGAGCCUGCUUCCGAUACGGGCUGACUAGAGGUAUGCAGGGGAGAACGGAAUUCCUGGUGUAGCGGUGAAAUGCGCAGAUAUCAGGAGGAACACCGGUGGCGAAGGCGGUUCUCUAGUACGGUACUGACGCUGAGACGCGAAAGCGUGGGGAGCGAACAGG
rnacentral:rRNA from 1 species